CCAAUAGCGUAUAUUAAAGUUGCUGCAGUUAAAAAGCUCGUAGUUGAAUUUCGGGACCGAUAUGUCGGUCGUGCCUCGGUACGUACUGGUAUUGUUGGUUUCUACCUUCUGACGAACCUUGAUGUCAUUAAUUUGGUGUCUUGGGGAAUCAGGACUGUUACUUUGAAAAAAUUAGAGUGUUUAAAGCAGGCUCACGCUUGAAUACAUUAGCAUGGAAUAAUGAAAUAGGACGUUUGAUUCUAUUUUGUUGGUUUCUAGGAUCGACGUAAUGAUUAAUAGGGAUAGUUGGGGGCAUUAGUAUUCAAUUGUCAGAGGUGAAAUUCUUGGAUUUAUUGAGGACUAACUACUGCGAAAGCAUUUGCCAAGGAUGUUUUCAUUAAUCAAGAACGAAAGUUAGGGGAUCGAAGACGAUCAGAUACCGUCGUAGUCUUAACCAUAAACUAUGCCGACUAGGGAUCGGAUGAUGUUAAUUUUUUAAUGACUCAUUCGGCGCCUUACG
rnacentral:rRNA from 1 species